ACGAACGCUAGCGGCGCGCUUAACACAUGCAAGUCGAACGUGAACGGGAACCAGCAAUGGGACCUUAUUAGCGUGGCGGACGGGUGAGUAACGCGUAGUCAAUCUGCCCUCGAGUGGGGGACAAGCCCGGGAAACUGGGUCUAAUACCGCAUGCGGUCUUCGGGAUGAUGUCCUGAAGAUCAAAGCCGUAAGGCGCUCGAGGAUGAGACUGCGUCCUAUUAGCUUGUUGGUGGGGUAACGGCCUACCAAGGCAACGAUGGGUAGCUGGUCUGAGAGGACGACCAGCCACACUGGGACUGAGAUACGGCCCAGACUCCUACGGGAGGCAGCAGUGAGGAAUAUUCGGCAAUGGGCGCAAGCCUGACCGAGCGACGCCGCGUGAGUGACGAAGCCUCUAGGGGUGUAAAGCUCUUUUGUUGGGGACGAAUGCCUACUACGGUAGGAGAGACGGUACCCGACGAAUAAGGACCGGCUAACUCCGU
rnacentral:rRNA from 1 species